rnacentral:sRNA from 1 species
UCUCGUUAUGAAGCAAAUUCCCGAUGGGAGGAGGGGCGACCCUUCGCUGCCUUGUAACCGCAAGAACUCUAGUUUCAGUUUUAAAUGGGGGAAUUAUUAACAAUG